rnacentral:rRNA from 1 species
GACGAACGCUGGCGGCGUGCUUAACACAUGCAAGUCGAACGGAAAGGCCCUGCUUUUGUGGGGUGCUCGAGUGGCGAACGGGUGAGUAACACGUGAGUAACCUGCCCUUGACUUUGGGAUAACUUCAGGAAACUGGGGCUAAUACCGGAUAGGAGCUCCUGCUGCAUGGUGGGGGUUGGAAAGUUUCGGCGGUUGGGGAUGGACUCGCGGCUUAUCAGCUUGUUGGUGGGGUAGUGGCUUACCAAGGCUUUGACGGGUAGCCGGCCUGAGAGGGUGACCGGCCACAUUGGGACUGAGAUACGGCCCAGACUCCUACGGGAGGCAGCAGUGGGGAAUAUUGCACAAUGGGCGGAAGCCUGAUGCAGCAACGCCGCGUGCGGGAUGACGGCCUUCGGGUUGUAAACCGCUUUCGCCUGUGACGAAGCGUGAGUGACGGUAAUGGGUAAAGAAGCACCGGCUAACUACGUGCCAGCAGCCGCGGUGAUACGUAGGGUGCGAGCGUUGUCCGGAUUUAUUGGGCGUAAAGGGCUCGUAGGUGGUUGAUCGCGUCGGAAGUGUAAUCUUGGGGCUUAACCCUGAGCGUGCUUUCGAUACGGGUUGACUUGAGGAAGGUAGGGGAGAAUGGAAUUCCUGGUGGAGCGGUGGAAUGCGCAGAUAUCAGGAGGAACACCAGUGGCGAAGGCGGUUCUCUGGGCCUUUCCUGACGCUGAGGAGCGAAAGCGUGGGGAGCGAACAGGCUUAGAUACCCUGGUAGUCCACGCUGUAAACGGUGGGUACUAGGUGUGGGGUCCAUUCCACGGGUUCCGUGCCGUAGCUAACGCUAUAAGUACCCCGCCUGGGGAGUACGGCCGCAAGGCUAAAACUCAAAGGAAUUGACGGGGCCCCGCACAAGCGGCGGAGCAUGCGGAUUAAUUCGAUGCAACGCGUAGAACCUUACCUGGGUUUGACAUGGAUCGGGAGUGCUCAGAGAUGGGUGUGCCUCUUUUGGGGUCGGUUCACAGGUGGUGCAUGCCUGUCGUCAGCUCGUGUCGUGAGAUGUUGGGUUAAGUCCCGCAACGAGCGCAACCCUUGUUCACUGUUGCCAGCACGUUAUGGUGGGGACUCAGUGGAGACCGCCGGGGUCAACUCGGAGGAAGGUGGGGAUGACGUCAAGUCAUCAUGCCCCUUAUGUCCAGGGCUUCACGCAUGCUACAAUGGCUGGUACAGAGAGUGGCGAGCCUGUGAGGGUGAGCGAAUCUCGGAAAGCCGGUCUCAGUUCGGAUUGGGGUCUGCAACUCGACCUCAUGAAGUCGGAGUCGCUAGUAAUCGCAGAUCAGCAACGCUGCGGUGAAUACGUUCCCGGG